GUCUAUGGCCAUACCACCCUGAACGCGCCCGAUCUCGUCUGUUCUCGGAAGCUAAGCAGAGUUGGGCCUGGUUAGUACUUGGAUGGGAGAUCAAUGAUCUGGUAUUGGUU
ensembl:rRNA 5S_rRNA 5S ribosomal RNA